rnacentral:rRNA from 1 species
UUGGAGGGCAAGUCUGGUGCCAGCAGCCGCGGUAAUUCCAGCUCCAAUAGCGUAUAUUAAAGUUGUUGCAGUUAAAAAGCUCGUAGUUGAAUUUCGAGACCGGUCUACUGGUCGUGCUUUUGUACGUACUGGUUUUAUUGGUUUCUCCUUUCUGACGAACUAUAAUGCCAUUAAUUUGGUGUUAUGGGGAAUCAGGACUGUUACUUUGAAAAAAUUAGAGUGUUUAAAGCAGGCUCACGCUUGAAUACAUUAGCAUGGAAUAACGGAAUAGGACGUUUGAUUCUAUUUUGUUGGUUUCUAGGAUCGACGUAAUGAUUAAUAGGGAUAGUUGGGGGCAUUAGUAUUCAAUUGUCAGAGGUGAAAUUCUUGGAUUUAUUGAAGACUAACUACUGCGAAAGCAUUUGCCAAGGAUGUUUUCAUUAAUCAAGAACGAAAGUUAGGGGAUCGAAGACGAUCAGAUACCGUCGUAGUCUUAACCAUAAACUAUGCCGACUAGGGAUCGGAUGAUGUUGAUUUUUUAAUGACUCAUUCGGCGCCUUACGGGAAAC